AGUGAACGCUGGCGGUAGGCCUAACACAUGCAAGUCGAACGGCAGCACAGUAAGAGCUUGCUCUUACGGGUGGCGGGUGGCGGACGGGUGAGGAAUACAUCGGAAUCUACUUUUUCGUGGGGGAUAACGUAGGGAAACUUACGCUAAUACCGCAUACGACCUACGGGUGAAAGCAGGGGAUCUUCGGACCUUGCGCGAUUGAAUGAGCCGAUGUCGGAUUAGCUAGUUGGCGGGGUAAAGGCCCACCAAGGCGACGAUCCGUAGCUGGUCUGAGAGGAUGAUCAGCCACGCUGGAACUGAGACACGGUCCAGACUCCUACGGGAGGCAGCAGUGGGGAAUAUUGGACAAUGGGCGCAAGCCUGAUCCAGCCAUACCGCGUGGGUGAAGAAGGCCUUCGGGUUGUAAAGCCCUUUUGUUGGGAAAGAAAAGCAGCAGGUUAAUACCCCGCUGUUCUGACGGUACCCAAAGAAUAAGCACCGGCUAACUUCGUG
rnacentral:rRNA from 1 species